UACGAGGGGGGCAAAUGUUGUUCGGAAUCACUGGGCGUAAAGGGAGCGUAGGCGGGUUCUUAAGUAAGGUGUUUAAUCCCGGGGCCUAACCCCGGACCGGCACUUUAAACUGGGAAUCUUGAAUAGUGGAGAGGUCGGUGGAAUUGGAGGUGUAGCGGUGGAAUGCGUAGAUAUCUGGAGGAACACCGGUGGCGAAGGCGGCAUCCUGGACCGAGAUUGACGCUGAGGCGCGAAAGCCAGGGGAGCAAACGGG
rnacentral:rRNA from 1 species